UGGAAGCGUAAUGGCCGCCAUCAGGGACUCGCAAGCAAUGGGGACCACGACAGAUAUCGUCUCUUCUUUUGAUCACUGUUCCUGAUUGUGGCUUUGUCCAAGCAUUAAAUUGCGUGCCUUUUGUUCCUUGAAGAAGGAGCUGGUGCUAACAAGUCUCAACUCGGCCCCUGGACCCAGCUCAAAACUCUGGAU